AACGAACGCUGGCGGCAUGCCUAACACAUGCAAGUCGAACGAGAUCUUCGGGUCUAGUGGCGCACGGGUGCGUAACGCGUGGGAAUCUGCCCUUUGGUUCGGAAUAACAGUUGGAAACGACUGCUAAUACCGGAUGAUGACGAAAGUCCAAAGAUUUAUCGCCAGAGGAUGAGCCCGCGUAGGAUUAGCUAGUUGGUGUGGUAAAGGCGCACCAAGGCGACGAUCCUUAGCUGGUCUGAGAGGAUGAUCAGCCACACUGGGACUGAGACACGGCCCAGACUCCUACGGGAGGCAGCAGUGGGGAAUAUUGGUCAAUGGGCGAAAGCCUGAUCCAGCAAUGCCGCGUGAGUGAUGAAGGCCUUAGGGUUGUAAAGCUCUUUUACCCGGGAUGAUAAUGACAGUACCGGGAGAGUAAGCUCCGGCUAACUCCGUGCCAGCAGCCGCCGUAAAAC
rnacentral:rRNA from 1 species